UACGGAGGGGGCUAGCGUUGUUCGGAAUUACUGGGCGUAAAGCGCGCGUAGGCGGCUUUGUAAGUUAGAGGUGAAAGCCCGGAGCUCAACUCCGGAACUGCCUUUAAGACUGCAUCGCUAGAAUCAUGGAGAGGUGAGUGGAAUUCCGAGUGUAGAGGUGAAAUUCGUAGAUAUUGGGAAGAACACCGGUGGCGAAGGCGGCUAUCUGGCCCGUAAUUGACGCUGAGGAGCGAAAGCAUGGGGAGCGAACAGG
rnacentral:rRNA from 1 species